rnacentral:rRNA from 1 species
GUGUCAGCAGCCGCGGUAACACGUAGGAUCCGAGCGUUAUCCGAAUUUACUGGGCGUAAAGCGCGUGCAGGCUGUUUGGAAAGUUGGAUGUGAAAGCUCCUGGCUCAACUAGGAGAGGCCGUUCAAAACUACCAGACUUGAGGACAGUAGAGGGAGAUGGAAUUUCCGGUGUAGUAGUGAAAUGCGUAGAUAUCGGAAGGAACACCAGUGGCGAAGGCGGUCUCCUAGGCUGUUUCUGACGCUAAGAUGCGAAAGCUAGGGUAGCGAAUGGGAUUAGAAACCCCUGUAGUCC